GAUGAACGCUGGCGGCGUGCCUAAUACAUGCAAGUCGAGCGAACGGACGAGAAGCUUGCUUCUCUGAUGUUAGCGGCGGACGGGUGAGUAACACGUGGAUAACCUACCUAUAAGACUGGGAUAACUUCGGGAAACCGGAGCUAAUACCGGAUAAUAUUUUGAACCGCAUGGUUCAAAAGUGAAAGACGGUCUUGCUGUCACUUAUAGAUGGAUCCGCGCUGCAUUAGCUAGUUGGUAAGGUAACGGCUUACCAAGGCAACGAUGCAUAGCCGACCUGAGAGGGUGACCGGCCCCCCAGGAACUAGACCCCGGUCCCGACUCCUACGGGAGGCACCAGGGGGGAAUUUUCCGCAAUGGGCGAAACCCUGCCGGAGCAACCCCGCGUGGGUGAUGAAGGUCUUCGGUUCGUAAACCUCUUUUUUUAGGGAAAAACAUAUGUUUAAGUAACUGUGCCCCUCUUGCCGGUCCCUAAUCAGAAACCCACGCCUAACUCCGU
rnacentral:rRNA from 1 species